rnacentral:lncRNA from 10 species
GGAACUUGGAGCUUAGAGACGGUUACUGACUGCCCUGCUUCAGGACACAGGACUGCACUCACGUGCUCCACUCCACUGCCCUGCCCCAAGCUCAGUGAUGGCCUCCAGGCAGGGGGAAGGCUGCUGCUGGGAUAAGUACAAGUGAUGGCUUUUACCUUACAUGCUUUAUGUGGGUUACCUCAUCUCAUCCUUAAAACAGUCCUGGGAG